rnacentral:ribozyme from 1 species
UACUUUAUUAAUACAAAUCGCAUUUCAAAAUUAAUAAUUGAUGAUUCUGAGACUGAUAGUGAUUAAGAUUUUAAAGAUAUAAG